rnacentral:rRNA from 1 species
GACGGAGGGUGCUAGCGUUGUUCGGAAUCACUGGGCGUAAAGGGCGCGUAGGCGGCCGCCCGCGUCGGGACGUGAAAGCCCGGGGCUCAACCCCGGAACGGCGUCCGAGUACGGGGCGGCUCGAGGCCGGGAGAGGGGGGUGGAAUACCCAGUGUAGAGGUGAAAUUCGUAGAUAUUGGGUGGAACAUCGGUGGCGAAGGCGGCUCACUGGCCCGGUACUGACGCUGAGGCACGAAAGCGUGGGGAGCAAACAGGG